AAGAUAAUAGUAACAAUAAGUAAAAAAAGAAUAAACAAAACAUAAAUUUAAAAAAAGAGAAAGAAAAAAGAAAAGAGGUAAGGUUGGAGGGGCUUUUGGAAGAGAGAGAAACAAAAUUUCAUUUUAAAAACUCUUCACUUCUUGCAUGACACGUGGCAGGUAGAAAUGGUUAAAAAACAAAAAAAAUAUACUUUUCCAUUUCCUUCCCCAUCGUGCGUUUCAGAAUACCAGUUUUCACUCUCUCAAAGGUUUCUUACACAAUGACCAAACAUAUGUGUCA
rnacentral:lncRNA from 1 species